rnacentral:rRNA from 1 species
AUUGAACGCUGGCGGCAUGCUUUACACAUGCCAGUCGAACGGUAACAGGCCGCAAGGUGCUGACGAGUGGCGAACGGGUGAGUAAUGCAUCGGAACGUGCCCAGUCGUGGGGGAUAACUACUCGAAAGAGUAGCUAAUACCGCAUACGAUCUAUGGAUGAAAGCGGGGGACCGUAAGGCCUCGCGCGAUUGGAGCGGCCGAUGUUAGAUUAGGUAGUUGGUGGGGUAAAGGCUCACCAAGCCAACGAUCUGUAGCUGGUCUGAGAGGACGACCAGCCACACUGGGACUGAGACACGGCCCAGACUCCUACGGGAGGCAGCAGUGGGGAAUUUUGGACAAUGGGCGCAAGCCUGAUCCAGCAAUGCCGCGUGCAGGAAGAAGGCCUUCGGGUUGUAAACUGCUUUUGUACGGAACGAAACGGCUCUGGUUAAUACCUGGGGCUAAUGACGGUACCGUAAGAAUAAGCACCGGCUAACUACGUG